rnacentral:sRNA from 10 species
AUCGGCCUUGAAAGCAAAAGAAGGGAAGAAAGGAGAAAAAAGAAAAGAGAAAGGAGGAAGAAGAAAACAAGUUGGAGGAGGCUCAAUUUUGGGAAAGAUUGGAGAAAAAUCGAAAGGUUUUCUCUUGCAUGCCAUUGUUGGAGGUUGAAGGACGAAGUGGUGGUUCGGCCUAGUGAUUCCAAGAAUCUACAAGGAUCCAAAGAAUCUGGUGCAUGCAUGCGGCUUGUUCUUGAAAGUAUUGUGAGUUUAAGCAAGACAAAUAAUGGGAAGUUUGCAAGUGAGGAAGGUUUGCUGUGGUGGUGUACUGGAGGAGAUAACGGGUGACCGGCAAGUAAAAUUAGCUAGAGACGCACCCAAACCAAUAGCAAUGUAGUGUCCUAAUAUUGUGAGAUAAGUGAUCAACUCAAGUGUAUUGCCUAGUAUAUUAAGAUUUGCUGCGACGUAGGUAAUGGCAUCUCUUAGACUUCCACUCCGAGUCACUCUGCUGCAUAAGGGUCAUGUUGGGUAAAUAGUCAAACUUAUAAAAAUUAUUAGUUUAUCGAAAAUGUACUUGCUAAAACCUUGAGGUUGUGUAAUGGAUUCUAAGUGUGAUGUUGAAACUAUCUUGAAGUUGGUUAAACAUGGAUA